rnacentral:rRNA from 1 species
AAUCAACGCUGGCGGCGUGCCUCAGACAUGCAAGUCGAACGCGAAAGUCCCCUUCGGGGGACGAAGUAGAGUGGCGCACGGGUGAGUAACACGUAGGUAAUCUACCUUUGGAUGGGGAAUAACAACCGGAAACGGUUGCUAAUACCGCAUAAUGCAGCGGCACCUAAUGGUGACAGUUGUUAAAGCGGGGGAUCGAAAGACCUCGCGUCUAAAGAGGAGCCUGCGGCGGAUUAGCUAGUUGGUAAGGAACGGCUUACCAAGGCUACGAUCCGUAACCGGCCUGAGAGGGCGGUCGGUCACACUGACACUGACAUACGGGUCAGACUCCUACGGGAGGCAGCAGUCGGGAAUUUUGGGUCAAUGGGCGAAAGCCUGACCCAGCAACGCCGCGUGAAGGAUGAAAUCCCUCGGGAUGUAAACUCGCAAGAACGGGAAGAAUAAGUAGGGACAAUACCCCCUAUGAUGACGGUACCGUUUGUAAG